rnacentral:rRNA from 1 species
GACAGAGGAGCCAAGCGUUGUCCGGAUUGACUGGGCGUAAAGCGCACGCAGGCGGACGCGCGCGUGGGGUGUGAAAUCUGGCCGCUUAACGGCCAGGCGCCAUCCCAUACGGCGCGUCUGGAGUGAUGCAGAGGUCGAUGGAAUUGCCGGUGUAGUGGUGAAAUGCGUAGAGAUCGGCAGGAACACCCAGGGGGAAACCAGUCGACUGGGCAUCUACUGACGCUGAUGUGCGAGAGCGUGGGGAGCGAACAGG